AAAACUUACAUGAGUGCCUUGAACACACUGUUUGUUUGAGAUGAUGAAGGUAAAUAGGACCCAAACCUCCUCUCAUUGUCUUGAGAGGUUGCUGGAUCAGGAACUUGAGGGGCAUUAAGCUUUUUGGUUUUUUGUUUUGUUAAUUUUGUUUUUAUUAUUUUUAAAGAUUUUAUUAUUUAUUCAUGAGAGACACACAGAGAGAGAGGCAGUGACACAGGCAGAGGGAGAAGCAGGCUCCCUGCAGGGAACCCAAGUUGGACUCCAUCCCGGGCCUCCAGGAUCACAACCUGGGCUGAAGGUGGUGCUAAACCACUGAGCCUCUGGGGCUGCCAGCAUUAAGCUUUUUGAUUAAGUUAGGGACAGGUAUCAUUUGAGUCAUUACAGCAGCAGAGAGACCUGGGUAGAAUGGAAAAUCCUCAAGAUGCCCAAGGCAGAAACAGCCAAAGUUAUCUGAAGAAUACCUCUUCACAACUUAAAAGCACAAAGGAAUAACUGAAAAGUUGGAAUUUCAAGCAAAAGACAGUUAAUAAAGAAGAAACAUUUGGUUACAAGGACUUUCCCUGGAACUUCUCCCAUAACAGCAAGCUUUACUACAUUCCAUGGGAACCCAAACUACAACAUUCUUGACUCAAGGGAUGAGGAGAUACUUUUAUGGGGAAUCUGACCAGCUUAAGAAAAAAGGCCCAAAUACAGUGAUAUCAAGGGCUUCCCAGUGAAAUUGUUCAGCCAGAUCUCUCUAAGGAACAGAUGGGUACAGCCUUGGAAAUGAGUAAGAUGAGAUUAACCAGAGCAAAAAGAUGGUGAGAAUAGAUUACAGAGACUUUAAUUCCAUUAAAUUUGUCUGAGUUUGAUUGGACAUCUAGAUUGUGACAGGAAUCAUGAUACACCAUGCCUUGUGAAGAGACGAACAAGAACAGAUCUCUGACUCAAAGCACAACAGAAUAUACAUGGGCAGAGUGGCUGUACAGGUACCAGAUGACCAGAAGAGGGACUCCAGCCUCUCAUAUUUUUGCUAUCACACCAGAAUGGUACUUUAUGAGCUGACAUCUACGCAUCUAUCUCCUGACAUCUAAGAGGAUCUUAACUUGGUAAACAAUACAACUGGAUUCAUUAAAAGUUUCUGAUUCAUCGCAACUCCAUGAAAACUUCCUCUAUUUUUUCUGAUGAUAUUUCUUUCCUGGGGUCCUUU